rnacentral:pre_miRNA from 1 species
AAUGUACUCCCUCCGUCCGAAAAUACUUGUCAUAUGAAUGAAUGUAUCUUAAUGUAUUUUAGUUCUAGAUACAUUCAUUUUAUUAAUUUGUGCGAUAAAUGAUUCUGGAUGGAGGGAGUAAAAG